GCCAGGCGCGGUGGCGCGUGCCUCUAGUCCCAGCUACUCGGGAGGCUGAGGUGGGAGGAUCGCUUGAGCCCCAGAAUUCUGGACUGUAGUUCGCUAUGCGAUCGGGUGUCCACACCAAGUUUGUCAUCAAUAUGGUGACCUUCCGGAAGCAGGGGACCACCAGGUUGCCUAAGGAGGGGUGAACUAGCCCAGGUCCGAAACGGAGCAGGUCAAAACUCCGGUGGUGAUCAAUAGUGGGAUCGCGCCUGCGAACUGCCACUGCACUCCAGUCUGGGCAACAUAGCGAGACCCCAUCUCU
rnacentral:SRP_RNA from 1 species